rnacentral:rRNA from 1 species
GAUGAACGCUAGCGGCAGGCUUAAUACAUGCAAGUCGAGGGGCAGCAUGAGUGUAGCAAUACAUUUGAUGGCGACCGGCAAACGGGUGCGGAACACGUACACAACCUUCCUAUAAGUGGGGAAUAGCCCAGAGAAAUUUGGAUUAAUACCCCGUAACAUAAUGAUGUGGCAUCACAUUAUUAUUAUAGCUUCGGCGCUUAUUGAUGGGUGUGCGGCUGAUUAGAUAGUUGGCGGGGUAACGGCCCACCAAGUCUACGAUCAGUAGCUGAUGUGAGAGCAUGAUCAGCCACACGGGCACUGAGACACGGGCCCGACUCCUACGGGAGGCAGCAGUAAAGGAAUAUUGGUCAAUGAGCAAGUCUGAACCAGCCAUGCCGCGUGAAGGAUGAAGGCCUAGGGUUGUAAAGUCUCUUUUACCAGGAUGAUAAUGACAGUACCUGGAGAAU